UCCUCCUUUACUGUGUUGAUUGCCUUUAUAUAUUUAAAUGUUUCUAUCAUAUCCCCGCUGUCUCGUCUUUCCUCCAAGCUAUACAUGUUAAGAUCCUUUAACCUUUCCUGGUAAGUUUUAUCCCGCAAUCCAUGAACCAGUUUAGUAGCCCUUCUCUGAACCCUCUCUAAGGCAUCAAUAUCCUUCUGAAGAUACGGUCUCCAGUACUGUGUACAAUACUCCAAGUGAGGUCUCACCAGUGUUCUGUACAAUGGCAUGAGCACUUCCCUCUUUCUACUGCUAAUAC